rnacentral:rRNA from 1 species
UGAAGGCCUCUGGUUGUAAACUCUUUAGUCUGGGACGAAAACAAGGAAUCUUUCCUGCUUGACGGUACCAGAGGAAUAAGCACCGGCUAACUCCGUGC